UGGGGAAUAUUGGACAAUGGGCGAAAGCCUGAUCCAGCCAUGCCGCGUGUGUGAAGAAGGUCUUCGGAUUGUAAAGCACUUUAAGUUGGGAGGAAGGGCAGUAAGCGAAUACCUUGCUGUUUUGACGUUACCGACAGAAUAAGCACCGGCUAACUCUGUGCCAGCAGCCGCGGUAAUACAGAGGGUGCAAGGGUUAAUCGGAAUUACUGGGCGUAAAGCGCGCGUAGGUGGUUCGUUAAGUUGAAUGUGAAAGCCCCGGGCUCAACCUGGGAACUGCACCCAAAACCGGCGAGCUAGAGUAGGGCAGAGGGUGGUGGAAUUUCCUGUGUAGCGGUGAAAUGCGUAGAUAUAGGAAGGAACACCAGUGGCGAAGGCGACCACCUGGGCUCAUACUGACACUGAGGUGCGAAAGCGUGGGGAGCAAACAGG
rnacentral:rRNA from 1 species